rnacentral:rRNA from 1 species
CCUACCUGGUUGAUCCUGCCAGUAGUCAUAUGCUUGUUUCAAAGACUAAGCCAUGCAUGUCUAAGUCCAAGCUGUGUGUUGUUGGUGCAAGCCUUCACACGCGGCGAAACCGCGGACGGCUCAUUAAAUCAGUCGUGGUCCAAAUGGGCUAGAGUUAUCUUACUUGGAUAACUGUGGUAAUUCCAGAGCUAAUACAUGCAACUGAAAGUCCGAUCGGAACACUUCGGUGUUCUGUGACGGCUGCUUUUAUUAGACCAAACCGCUGAGGGGAAUUUAUUCCCUGUAGACCCGUGUUAUGGUGACUCCGGAUAACAACCACUGACAAGCGCACGUAUCCAUUUGUUUGGGACGGCGCUGCCACUUUCGAGUGUCUGCCUUAUCAGCUAUGAAUCGUUCGUUAUGUGCACACGAUGGCUUUGACGGGUAACGGGGAAUCAGAGUUCGAUUCCGGAGAGGCAGCCUGAGAAACGGCUACCACGUCCAAGGACGGCAGCAGGCACGCAAAUUACCCAAUCCCAGCUACUGGGGGAGGUAGUGACGAAAUCUAACGAUGCGGGCGCCCCUUCUGGGGCCCCGCAAUCGGAAUGAGCAUUCUCUUUCUAAACACCCUGUUGAGAACCUACUGAAGGGCAAGUCUGGUGCCAGCAGCCGCGGUAAUUCCAGCUUCAGCAGCAUCUACUAAUGUUGCUGCGGUUAAAAGGCUCGCAGUUGAAUGUCAGUACCGAGUGCAUGGAUGGUGGACGUUGGGGUAUGUUUGGUAGCGCAUGCCGUGCAUUUACGUGUGCGGUGUGUCUGCGCCUGCAUGUUAUAGCUCCCGUCCGUGUCAAGCCACCUCACUUGUGUGCAAAGUGGAAUGGUUUCUUCUUGUUACUUUCGGGUAAUGAGGGGCGCACCAGCGCUUGAUGAGGUUCUUGGUGCUUGCUUCUGUGAGUGCCUUGUGACCAACAAGCUUGCCCGUGUGUGUUAACAGUUUCAAUGUCUCCUUGAGUAAAUCGGAGUGCUUAACGCAAUCGUAAGGAGCGUGUGUGGUUAACGCUGCACAUGCUCUGCGAUGAAUGUCAUUGUGACAGAUGGUCCUGGUUAUGCAUGGAAUGUCGAAAGACGCUGUGUUUUGUCGGUAACGGGUCUGGUGCGGGCUGUACUAGAGAGCUCAUUUCGGUGGGUUUUCUUGUGCACACACGAGACCAGCAAACACGGAAUGAUUAAAAGGUUCGGUCGAGGGCAUUGGUAUUGCGGGGCGAGAGGUGAAAUUCUAUGACCCCCGCAAGACCUCCUGAAGCGAAAGCGUCUGCCAAGGACGUUUUCAUUAAUCAUGAACGAAAGUUAGAGGAUCGAAGGCGAUCAGAUACCGCCCUAGUUCUAACCCUAAACGAUUCCAACCAUCAAUCUGUGUGAGCACCCUUUCUAACGGGCUCGACAGGCAGCUCCCCACUCACGGGAAACCAGAGUCUCUGGGUUCCGGGGGGAGUCUGGUUGCAAAGCUGAAACUUAAAGGAAUUGACGGAAAGGCACCACCAGGAGUGGCCUGCGGCUUAAUUUGACUCAACACGGGCCAUCUCACCAGGCCAGCACUCUUGUACGAUUGACAGAUUGAGAGUUCUUUCUCGAUUAAGUGGAUGGUGGUGCAUGGCCGUUCUUAGUUGGUGGAGUGAUCUGUCUGGUUAAUUCCGAUAACGAACGAGACUCUCCCCUGCUAAAUAGUCGGUUGGAUCUUGCGUCAUGGAGAGUAGCGACCUCUAGGCAUUUGCAUGCGUGUUUGCCUCACGGUGGGUGCGUGUGUGGGUGUUCGAAAAGGGAGCACUCCAAGUCCGCCGCUUACCCUACUGCCGCGUGUGUGUGUGGUGUCCUUAACGGGGCGUCAUGCGUGUGCGUGUGUCGGUGGGUAAAACUCUUCUUAGAGGGAUUCACGGUUCUGAAGCCGUAAGAAACUGAGAGCAAUAACAGGUCUGUGAUGCCCUUAGAUGUUCUGGGCCGCACGCGCGCUACAAUGUCGGACUCAGCAGGUGUUUUCCCUUUUCCGAGAGGAAUAGGUAACCCUAUGAAAGUCCUUCAAACAUUAUCUCUAUAAAAGCUUGGGCCUUGUGUCCUUGCUAAUAUAAGCGUGACUUGCUUGGGCCUGGGGCUUGCAAUUCUUUCCCACAAACGAGGAAUGCCUAGUAGCGGCGGAUCACUGAGUUCGCUGUGACUCAGUCCCUGCCCUUUGUACACACCGCCCGUCGCUACUACCUGAUUGGGUGUACCAGUGAAAUUUUUGGACUGGCGAGCCUUGUGCGCAAGCACGAGUGUGUACGACGGAARGAGACUCGAACUGGUGCACUUAGAGGAAGUAAAAGUCGUAAC